CUCUCUCUGCGCCUCUCUCUCUCUCUCUCUCUCUCUCUCUCUCUCUCCCUCUCCCUCUACGGUCGAGCUAUGUCCGCUGCACCCCUCGGAUAUAUGAUGUUCCGCAACAAGCGGGUCCCGUCUGCUUCUUCCUACUCCAAGCAGACGUAGGAAUAAAGUCCUGAUAUAGGAAUGCUGCGGAGAUUUGGUUUCUUUUCUGUCCCUGGUUAUUGGAAGGACCACCGGUAAUGCGGUUGUUCUUAUUCAGCUUUGAAUGUAAAUUCUGAUUUUUGGGUUUUUAGUUGUUGGAAAUUCUAAUGCUGUUUCCGUAAGAUGAAUGUAUUUGGUCCGAUUUGUUUGUCAUGGAGAAUUGCAUUUGUUCAAGUGUCGUGUGUUUUCUCGAA